rnacentral:rRNA from 1 species
UACGUAGGGUGCGAGCGUUGUCCGGAAUUACUGGGCGUAAAGAGCUCGUAGGUGGUUUGUCGCGUUGUCCGUGAAAACUCACAACUCAAUUGUGGGCGUGCGGGCGAUACGGGCAGACUUGAGUACUGCAGGGGAGACUGGAAUUCCUGGUGUAGCGGUGGAAUGCGCAGAUAUCAGGAGGAACACCGGUGGCGAAGGCGGGUCUCUGGGCAGUAACUGACGCUGAGGAGCGAAAGCGUGGGGAGCGAACAGG